rnacentral:rRNA from 1 species
GGAUUAGAUACCCUGGUAGUCCACGCCGUAAACGAUGAGAACUAGCCGUUGGGCAGAUUUAACUGUUCAGUGGCACAGCUAACGCAUUAAGUUCUCCGCCUGGGGAGUACGGCCGCAAGGCUAAAACUCAAAUGAAUUGACGGGGGCCCGCACAAGUGGUGGAGCAUGUGGUUUAAUUCGAUGCAACGCGAAGAACCUUACCAACCCUUGAAAUCUAGCGAAGUUCACAGAGAUGAGAAUGUGCCUUCGGGAACGCUAUGACAGGUGUUGCAUGGCUGUCGUCAGCUCGUGCCG